rnacentral:rRNA from 1 species
CUUGGGUUGUAAACCUCUUUUGUCAGGGAAGAAAGAAAGUGACGGUACCUGAAGAAUCAGCAUCGGCUAACUCCGUGCCAGCAGCCGCGGUAAUACGGAGGAUGCAAGCGUUAUCCGGAAUUAUUGGGCGUAAAGCGUCCGCAGGUGGUCAAUCAAGUCUGCUGUCAAAGCACGUGGCUUAACCACGAAAAGGCAGUGGAAACUGAAGGACUAGAGUGCUCAAGGGGCAGAGGGAAUUCUCGGUGUAGCGGUGAAAUGCGUAGAGAUCGAGAAGAACAUCGGUGGCGAAAGCGCUCUACUGGAGAGCAACUGACACUCAGGGACGAAAGCU